rnacentral:rRNA from 1 species
AUUGAACGCUGGCGGCAGGCUUAACACAUGCAAGUCGAGCGAGCGGCGGACGGGUGAGUAAUGUCUGGGACACUGCCUGAUGGUGGGGGAUAAAUACUGGACACGUUAGCUAAUACCGCUAACCACCAUAUGUGCCCAGAUGGGAGUAGCUAGUAGGUGGGGUAAUGGCUCACCGAGGCGACGAUCCCAACCGGGUCUGCGAGGAUGACCAGCAACACGGGAACUGAGAAAGGGGCCAGACUCCUACGGGAGGCAGCAGUGGGGAAUAUUGCACAAUGGGCGCAAGCCUGAUGCAGCCAUGCCGCGUGUGUGAAGAAGGCCUUCGGGUUGUAAAGCACUUUCAGCGAGGAGGCGUUACUCGCAGAAGAAGCACCGGCUAACUACGUGCCAGCAGCCGCGGUAAUAC